rnacentral:rRNA from 1 species
AGCGAACGCUGGCGGCAGGCCUAACACAUGCAAGUCGAACGAACCUUUCGGGGUUAGUGGCGGACGGGUGAGUAACACGUGGGAACGUGCCUUUAGGUUCGGAAUAACUCAGGGAAACUUGUGCUAAUACCGCAUGUGCCCUUCGGGGGAAAGAUUUAUCGCCUUUAGAGCGGCCCGCGUCUGAUUAGCUAGUUGGUUGAGGUAAUGGCUCACCAAGGCGACGAUCAGUAGCUGGUCUGAGAGGAUGAUCAGCCACAUUGGGACUGAGACACGGCCCAAACUCCUACGGGAGGGAGCAGUGGGGAAUCUUGCGCAAUGGGCGAAAGCCUGACGCAGCCAUGCGGCGUGAAUGAUGAAGGUCUUAGGAUUGUAAAAUUCUUUGAGCGGGGACGAUAAUGACGGUACCCGGAGAAGAAGCACCGGCUAACUUCGUG